UCACAGGGCAUGAAACCGUUAAGAGGUAAAUGGGUGGGGUCUGCACAGUCUGCCCGGAGGAUUCAAACCGGCGGGUCUGGUGGGGAUCGCGGAUCCCCUUGGGUGGGGACCGUCGCCUGGCAUCGGCAUCUCCGUCGAGCGCACUUCUUCCGAGGCGGAGAGCCGCGACCGGCUCCGGUUUGGCCAGGAAGGGUCGGGGGGUGAAGGUGGCCCCAGGGCUGUGGGCAGUGUCCUCGCGCCUUCUCUCCUCCUGCCGGGGGAGGGACGGGGCCCCUCGCUCCCGGURCGUGCGUCGACCGGGGCGGUCUGUCCUCAGUCCGUCUCCGACCGCUCCGUGCCAUAAGGGCGGGGAUCAGGCCCUCGUAAAGGGUGCUCGAGAUUGGUGGCGAGGUCGGCCACCCACCCACCCUACCCGUCUUGAAACACAGACCAAGGAGUCUAACACACUCGU
rnacentral:rRNA from 1 species